rnacentral:rRNA from 1 species
UAAAGCGUGAAAGAGCGUAGAGUGAAUGCCUUGGCAUUGGGAGCCGAAGAAGGACGUGGUUAACUGCGAAAAGCUGCGGGGAGUCGUAAGCAGACAUUGAUCCGCAGAUGUCCGAAUGGAGCAAUCCGCAUGGAGGUAGUCCAUGCAUCCAUAAGUGAAUCCAUAGCUUAUGGAGGGGAACCGCCUGAACUGAAACAUCUAAGUAGGGCGAGGAAGAGAAAUCAAACGAGAUUUCGUAAGUAGUGGCGAGCGAACGCGAAAGAGGCCAAACCAAUAGAAGAAAUUCUGUUGGGGUUACGGACUGCGGAAAGCAUUCUUUUUCUUUAGCUGAACGGUAUGGGAAAGCCGACCGGAGAAUGUGAUAGUCAUGUAAGCGAAAAGGAAAAAGAGCUGGCAGGAUCCAGAGUACCGCGGGACACGAGGAAUCCCGUGGGAAGUCGGGGGGACCACCCUCCAAGCCUAAAUACUACCCAAUGACCGAUAGCGAAAAGUACUGUGAAGGAACGGUGAAAAGAACCCCGGGAGGGGAGUGAAAAGAACCUGAAACUCUAUGCUUACAAGCACAUAGAGCACGUCAAAGUGUGAUAUGGUACCUUUUGUAGAAUGGUCCGGCGAGUUAUUGUAUGCAGCAAGGUUAAGGUCUUCAGGACUGAAGCCGAAGCGAGAGCGAGUCUGACAAGGGCGAUGAGUUGCAUGCAAUAGACCCGAAACCGGGUGACCUAGCCAUGUUCAGGUUGAAGUGGAGGUAAAGCUCCAUGGAGGACCGAACCGACCUCCGUUGAAAAGGCGGCGGAUGAAAUGUGGCUAGCGGAGAAAUUCCAAUCGAACCCGGAAAUAGCUGGUUCUCCCCGAAAUAGCUUUAGGGCUAGCGUUGUAUUAGAUUUCUGGGGGUAAAGCACUGAAUAGGCUAGGGGCCGAGAGGUUACUGAACCUUAUCAAACUAAGAAUACCAGAAAAUUGAUGUACAGCAGUCAGACUAUGUGAGAUAAGUCUCAUAGUCAAAAGGGAAACAGCCCAGACCCACAGCUAAGGUCCCCAAACAGGUUUAAGUGGAAAAGGAUGUGGGAUUGCUUAGACAACCAGGAUGUUGGCUUAGAAGCAGCCACUCAUUAAAAGAGUGCGUAAUAGCUCACUGGUCGAGUGAUCCUGCGCCGAAAAUUCAACGGGGCUAAAAUCUGUACCGAAGCUUGGGCUUGACAUGAAAAUGUCAGGGGUAGGGGAGCGUCAUGUGCGAGGAGAAGUCAUAGCGGAAGCGGUGGUGGAUUGCACAUGAGAGAGAAUGCCGGAAUGAGUAGCGAGAAUUAUGUGAGAAUCAUAAUGGCCGAAAAUCUAAGGUUUCCUGAGGAAGGUUCGUCCGCUCAGGGUAAGCCGGGAGCUAAGGUGAGGCGGAAACGCGUAGCCGAUGCACAUACGGUAGAGAUUCCGUAGCCUCCGAAAAGUAAAGCACAGGGACGCUUCAGAAGUGUUACGCCGGGCGAUGGUAGACCCGGUCGUAAGGGACACAAAUGAGUGGAAGGUAACAUGGAUGGAGACAAGAAAAGCUGUGUGUAUCUGGAAGGAGCCCGUACCGCAAACCGACACAGGUAGAUAGGAAGAAGAUUCUAAGGCCAGCGGGAGAAGGGUUGUUAAGGAACUCGGCAAGUUGACCCCGUAACUUCGGGAGAAGGGGUGCUUACGAAGGUAAGCCGCAGAGAAUAGGCCCAAGCGACUGUUUAGCAAAAACACAGCUCUAUGCUAAAUCGAAAGAUGACGUAUAUGGGGUGACACCUGCCCGGUGCUGGAAGGUUAAGAGGAGAUGUGAGAGCAUUGAAUUGAAGCCCCAGUAAACGGCGGCCGUAACUAUAACGGUCCUAAGGUAGCGAAAUUCCUUGUCAGGUAAGUUCUGACCCGCACGAAUGGUG